UACGUAGGCAGCGAGCGUUGUUCGGAGUUACUGGGCGUAAAGGGUGUGUAGGCGGUUGUUUAAGUUUGGUGUGAAAUCUCCCGGCUCAACUGGGAGGGUGCGCCGAAUACUGAAUGACUAGAGUGCGGGAGAGGAAAGUGGAAUUCCUGGUGUAGCGGUGAAAUGCGUAGAUAUCGGGAGGAACACCAGUGGCGAAGGCGGCUAUCUGGGCUGAAACUGACGCUGAGGCGCGAAGGCUAGGGGAGCAAACAGGG
rnacentral:rRNA from 1 species